rnacentral:tRNA from 1 species
UCCAUGGUGGCCUAGUGGUUAGGGCUUCUAGUUUUCACUCUGGUGGCCCCGGGUUUAAUCCCCGGCCUGGGAA